AUGCUGAUCCUCCUAAAAUUUUUCACUAUUCGUCUAGUUAGGUCAGUUCAGAACAAGGGCACAAGUCAUCAGGGAAGCGUUCCCGUCUGCCUCCCAUUUUGGUCUAAGACCCCUAUAUUUAUUGACAUGCAGAUAAAGAGCUAUUUUUUUUUUUUUUUUUUUUUUUGCAGUAUUUAUCGCAGCUGCAGUUUUACAUUUGUUUCUGGAUUUGUCCUCUGCCAGCCUGCGGCCCCCAUGAGGACAGAGAGGAGUCUAGCAGACCGGGAAACUGAGGCCCAGGGAGGAUCGCCCUGCAGGAGAGCAAGUAGAGGACGGCCCUGGUCGUGUCUCCUCUCCCGAGAUCCCUGCCCUCGCUGUGCAGGACCCCAGGGACAGGCGCCCCAGUUCAGCCUCCGCGGAGCUGGGAAGGGGCCAGGCCACAGCUCUUGUCUUGCAAAGGUGACCGGGAAAGGGGAGGCGAAUGCAGACCUUGCCCUCCUGUGUGGAGUCACAGGAACCAGCCUGAGAAGUGAUGGGGUUCAGGGCAGGCCACCCCGAGAUGCAAGAUGCGCCACUCUGGUAUGCAGCCUGUUCUGAGCUGAAGACAAUAAAGGCUUGCCUUUCCCCA
rnacentral:lncRNA from 1 species